UGCAGAAGGUCCUUGAAGCCUAGAACCCGGGCCGCCCGCGUGGCAAGCGAGCAUUCUACCACUGAACCAACGAUGC